rnacentral:rRNA from 1 species
AGCGAACGCUGGCGGCAGGCCUAACACAUGCAAGUCGAACGAACUCUUCGGAGUUAGUGGCGGACGGGUGAGUAACACGUGGGAACGUGCCUUUUGGUUCGGAAUAACUCAGGGAAACUUGUGCUAAUACCGAAUGUGCCCUUCGGGGGAAAGAUUUAUCGCCAUUAGAGCGGCCCGCGUCUGAUUAGCUAGUUGGUGAGGUAACGGCUCACCAAGGCGACGAUCAGUAGCUGGUCUGAGAGGAUGACUAGCCACACUGGGACUGAGACACGGCCCAGACUCCUACGGGAGGCAGCAGUGGGGAAUCUUGCGCAAUGGGCGAAAGCCUGACGCAGCCAUGCCGCGUGAAUGAUGAAGGUCUUAGGAUUGUAAAAUUCUUUCACCGGGGACGAUAAUGACGGUACCCGGAGAAGAAGCCCCGGCUAACUUCGUG